rnacentral:rRNA from 1 species
UACGGAGGGUGCAAGCGUUAUCCGGAUUCACUGGGUUUAAAGGGUGCGUAGGCGGGUUGGUAAGUCCGUGGUGAAAUCCCCAGCUUAACUUGGGGAACUGCCGUGGAUACUAUCAAUCUUGAAUAUCGUGGAGGUAAGCGGAAUAUGUCAUGUAGCGGUGAAAUGCUUAGAUAUGACAUAGAACACCAAUUGCGUAGGCAGCUUACUACACGAUCAUUGACGCUGAGGCACGAAAGCGUGGGGAGCAAACAGG